rnacentral:lncRNA from 1 species
AUGAGGUUAGUGGUCAGUUUUGGUAAGAUUUGGUAGUUGGUGGGGUUGUGGGAAGUGGGAGUUUAUUUUGAAUUAAAUAUUUUAUUUUAUUUUAUUUUAUUUCUUUCCAAAAAUCCCUUUUCUUUCUAGUGCUCUUCCCUUUCCUUUCUCUGCAAUUUUUAUUUUUGUUUUCUUCUUCUAUCUUGUUCAUAAUUUGUCGUUCAUAUCAUUGUGUUUUGGAUUUUCGGUUCCCUUCGUUCGGUUUGGUAAGUGGGGUUUUGUUUAUCUAUAGCUUUCGAUUUCUGUAAGGAUGUUUGGAAUUAUACCUUUUGUAAUGGCAUAAUGGUGUGUAGUUAGGGGAUUUAAUUUCUGUGAAUGUGUGUUGCUUAGGAG